rnacentral:rRNA from 1 species
ACAGCAGUAGCCACGGGAAAACAGAGGGUGCGAGCGUUAAUCGGAUUUACUGGGCGUAAAGCGUGUGUAGGUUGUUGUUCAAGUCAGUUGUGAAAUCCCUGGGCUCAACCUGGGAACUGCUUCUGAGACUGAACGACUAGAGUACGGUAGAGGGUGGUGGAAUUUCCGGUGUAGCGGUGAAAUGCGUAGAUAUCGGAAGGAACAUCAAUGGCGAAGGCAGCCACCUGGGCCUGUACUGACACUGAGACACGAAAGCGUGGGGAUCAAACAGGAUUAGAUACCCCGGUAGUCCCUGUCUCUUAUAC